rnacentral:tRNA from 1 species
GGAGCUAAGAUGGUAAAGCAUCUGCUUACAAUGCAGGAGAUCCAGGUUCCAUUCCUGGUUCG